CUACCAUAUUUCAUUUUCACUCAUCUCUAUUUCUCCCAUAGGGUAGAACAUCUAAGUCUGAUACUCUCGAGACUGGCGUAAUGGCUACUUUGCACAUCACUGCGCCUCUUUCGGUCCUCAUGCUCUAUACUGCACUACUUUUCCCCUUGAUUCAACACUUCUCAGUCCUCACCACCCACCGGCAGGUGCAUGUUUCUGGUCUUUAACUCCAAGACCUGAAAUUUCAAUACGCCUUCAAUUCGUACGAUGUUAGGCAUUCAAUUUUAUGAGCGCAGCUGGGAUCCAGGUCACCCAUAGUCUAGUCUCUGCACCUCUAUUCACCUCUUAAAAGUCUUAGCCUAUUCCAUGCCAACGCAACUGUUACGCUACCCAUCACCCUCCACAUCUCCUAUGACCAGCGAUUGGUUCAGAGUUCACUUGGGUUCGGUGGUAGAAAAAUGGGGUCUGCCCAGACGUGGCUACACGAGCCAUUCAUUCCGCAUCGGAGCUGCCUCUACCGCCGCGGAGAAGGGUAUGGCCGACUCCUCCAUCAAGCGCCUGGGGAGAUGGUCCUCGUCGGCUUUCGAGUCCUACAUCAGGCCCAACCCCAGAUUGGUCCUUGAAGCUCAAAUCUCGCUCUCUAGCAGUCGAUAAGGUGGGUUCCAGUCGUCGCCUACGGUGGGUCACGCGUCUCCUCUUGUCCUUGUUCUCUCUUUUGGGGGCAUGGCCGGUCCGAAAUCUCCUCCUCCAUCCCCACCGCCACCAGUUGGGUCCAGUCUUCCUGUCCGGGGGGUUAAAAGUCCAGUUCCUGCUGCACGGCUACGGCAGGCUCUACUGGAUCCGCCAGCGCAAGACCCGGGCUGAUGAUUGGACCUACGCCAAAUACUGUCUACUUAUGCCAAUUCUAUUGUCAACUAUGUUAACAACAUUAAAUUGUUAAAUACGAAUUUAUCUCUCUGAGUCUUAA